GAUGAACGCUGGCGGCGCGCCUAACACAUGCAAGUCGAACGGCACCCCUCUCCGGAGGGAAGCGAGUGGCGGACGGCUGAGUAACACGUGGAGAACCUGCCCCCUCCCCCGGGAUAGCCGCCCGAAAGGACGGGUAAUACCGGAUACCCCGGGGUGCCGCAUGGCACCCCGGCUAAAGCCCCGACGGGAGGGGAUGGCUCCGCGGCCCAUCAGGUAGACGGCGGGGUGACGGCCCACCGUGCCGACAACGGGUAGCCGGGUUGAGAGACCGACCGGCCAGAUUGGGACUGAGACACGGCCCAGACUCCUACGGGAGGCAGCAGUGGGGAAUCUUGCGCAAUGGGGGGAACCCUGACGCAGCGACGCCGCGUGCGGGACGGAGGCCUUCGGGUCGUAAACCGCUUUCAGCAGGGAAGAGUCAAGACUGUAC
rnacentral:rRNA from 1 species